CCGCCCCCCCCGCGCCCCUCACCGCCCCGCCGGGCCGGGGAGGGCAGGGCGCACCUCCAGCCCCACCGCCCAGCCCUGGCACGACGGCAGGCACUGCCACAAAAUGGCUGCCGGGGGGUGGGGGGGGCCUGCAAACCGCCCGAUAGCCCCCACCCCUGCCCCACAGCAGCCCCCGGCCCACCCGCGCCCCCCCCCUCAAACCCAGCGCCGGAUUUUGUGCUUAAGCAACCAAUCGGGGGGGCAGCACCCUUCUCCCCUCUCUCUUUCUACCACACCGUCCCUUCUUCUCCACCCUCCAUCCCUCCUUUUCCACCCUCCAUUCUUCCUUCUCCAACCUCCAUCCCUCCUUUUCCACCUUCCAUUCUUCCUUCUCCCCUCCAUCCCUCCUUCUCUACCCCCCAUCCAUCCCCUCGAUCCUUCCUUUUCCGCCCUCCACCCCUCCUUUUCCACCCUUCAUCCUUGCUUCUUCCCUUUCAUCCCUUCUUCUUCCCCCUCCAUCUCUCCUUUUCCACCCUCCAUUCUUCCUGCUCCCCUCCAUCCCUCUUCCUCUAUGCUCUAUCCAUCCCCUCUAUCCUUCCUUUUCCACCUUCCACCUCUCCUUUUCCACCCUACAUUCUUUCUUCUCCCUCUCCAUCCUUCCUUCUCCCACCUCCAUCCCUCUUUAUCCCACCUCCAUCCCUCUUUUUCCACUCUCCAUCUCUCCUUCUCCACCCCUCCAUCCCACCUUCCCUCACGCCCAGAGCCAAACCCUCACUGUUUCCACGCGCGGGGUGUGUGUGUGUUUGUGUGUGUGUGCGUGCUUGUGUUUCUGAAUUCUCACCACCCAGGGAAAAAGUCUCUUCCCUCCUUUCGAGGGGCUCCGACGAGGCUGAGACCUCGGCCACUCGUGACCUCUGUGGGUCCGCCAGGACCACGCGUGGUCCCCGGGAGGCGGGGGGGACACUUCAAUUCCUCUGCUGAGGGGUGUCCACGGGCACUAGUGGGGAGAAACCAGCCGUGUGUACGCUCGC
rnacentral:lncRNA from 1 species